rnacentral:rRNA from 1 species
UACGUAGGGUGCAAGCGUUAAUCGGAAUUACUGGGCGUAAAGCGUGCGCAGGCGGUUUUGUAAGUCUGUCGUGAAAUCCCCGGGCUUAACCUGGGAAUGGCGAUGGAGACUGCAAGGCUAGAAUCUGGCAGAGGGGGGGUAGAAUUCCACGUGUAGCAGUGAAAUGCGUAGAGAUGUGGAGGAACACCGAUGGCGAAGGCAGCCCCCUGGGCUAAGAUUGACGCUCAUGCACGAAAGCGUGGGGAGCAAACAGG